ACCCGCACAAGCGGUGGAUGAUGUGGUUAAUUCGAUGACAACGCGAAAACCUUACCCACCUUUGACAUGUACGGAAGCCUUUAGAGAUAGAGGCGUGCUCGAAAGAGAGCCGUAACACAGGCGCUGCAUGGCUGUCGUCAGCUCGUGUCGUGAGAUGUUGGGUUAAGUCCCGCAACGAGCGCAACCCUUGUCAUUAGUUGCUACAUUCAGUUGGGCACUCUAAUGAGACUGCCGGUGACAAGCCGGAGGAAGGUGGGGAUGACGUCAAGUCCUCAUGGCCCUUAUAGGUGGGGCUACACACGUCAUACAAUGGCUGGUACAAAGGGUUGCCAACCCGCGAGGGGGAGCUAAUCCCAUAAAGCCAGUCGUAGUCCGGAUCGUAGUCUGCAACUCGACUACGUGAAGUCGGAAUCGCUAGUAAUCGUGGAUCAGAGUGUCACGGUGAAUACGUUCCCGGGUCUU
rnacentral:rRNA from 1 species